rnacentral:lncRNA from 1 species
AACCCAUCGUGUAGCAGUUUGUUCCAUAUAGCACUUAGCUCUCAUACUUUUCGUUAGCAUUCAGUUUUUAUACCAAAUAUAACGACUGGAUUCAUUAGCAAUGACAGCUCAUUAGGCCUAAACCAACGGCCCAAAAUAUUUAAAUUCACUUAUUAUUACUAAGAUCUUAAAUUAUUUCAUUCUCAUUAACAAACUUUUCU